rnacentral:rRNA from 1 species
AGAGAGAGACAUGCGCGCAUAUCAAUAAGCGGAGGAAAAGAAACUAACAAGGAUUCCCCUAGUAACGGCGAGUGAAGCGGGAAGAGCUCAAAUUUGAAAUCUUAAAGGGUUUCCCUCUACGAAUUGUAGUUUAAAGAAGUGUUUUCUGUUGAGGUUUUGGUAAAAGUUCUUUGGAAUAGGACAUCAUAGAGGGUGAGAAUCCCGUAUUUGACCUUUACUUUCAACUUUGUGAUACACUUUCAAAGAGUCGGAUUGUUUGGGAAUGCAGUCCAAAAUGGGUGGUAAAUUUCAUCUAAAGCUAAAUAUUGGCGAGAGACCGAUAGCGAACAAGUACCGUGAGGGAAAGAUGAAAAGAACUUUGAAAAGAGAGUUAAACAGUACGUGAAAUUGUCAAAAGGGAAGCGUUUGACACCAGUGUUGUUUUUCUGAAAAUCAAUUAAAGAACUGUUUAUGCUAAGCUGUUUAGACUUUAUCAGCUAUCUGUUUAGUUUUGAGCUUUUCUUUAAUGCACUUUUCAGUUAACAAGUCAACAUCAAUUUCUUUUGCUGUAAAAAAGCUUGAGGAAGGUGGCUUGAGAUUCGUCUUAAGUGUUUAUAGCCUCUUGCCUAUGCAGUCGGAGAGAUUGAGGUCUGCAGCGUAGAUCCUUCGGGGCUAAAUGCAUUUGUGCUAAGUUAUAGCAUUUUAUAGACAACUUGUUGACUAUGAUUUGUCUUGGAGCUUACUCGCUUAUGUUAUUUUACCUACGCUUAGGAUGUUGAACGCAUGUCUCUCUCU